GCCUGGCUAGCUCAAUCGGUAGAGCGUGAGACUCUUAAUCUCAAGGUUGCGGGUUCGACCCCCGCGUUGGGCU